GGGUUCCGCGCAGUGUGAUGUCGUGAACCCCGUCAGAUCCGGAAGGAAGCAGCGGUAGCGGCCUAUGGCGCGUGCCGCGGGUGU
rnacentral:SRP_RNA from 1 species